GGGGAUUGGACAUGGGGGCACCCUGCAUCCAGCAAUGCCGCGUGUGUGAAGAAGGCCUUCGGGUUGUAAAGCACUUUUGUCCGGAAAGAAAACGCCGUGGUUAAUACCCGUGGCGGAUGACGGUACCGGAAGAAUAAGCACCGGCUAACUACGUGCCAGCAGCCGCGGUAAUACGUAGGGUGCAAGCGUUAAUCGGAAUUACUGGGCGUAAAGCGUGCGCAGGCGGUCCGCUAAGACAGAUGUGAAAUCCCCGGGCUUAACCUGGGAACUGCAUUUGUGACUGGCGGGCUAGAGUAUGGCAGAGGGGGGUAGAAUUCCACGUGUAGCAGUGAAAUGCGUAGAGAUGUGGAGGAAUACCGAUGGCGAAGGCAGCCCCCUGGGCCAAUACUGACGCUCAUGCACGAAAGCGUGGGGAGCAAACAGGAUUAGAUACCCUGGUAGUCCACGCCCUAAACGAUGUCAACUAGUUGUCGGGUCUUCAUUGACUUGGUAACGUAGCUAACGCGUGAAGUUGACCGCCUGGGGAGUACGGUCGCACAGAUUAAAACUCAAAGGAAUUGACGGGGACCCGACAAGGCGGUGGAUGAUGUGGAUUUAAUUUCGAUGCAAACGCGAAAAACUUACCUACCCCUUGACAUGUAUGGGAUCCCUGC
rnacentral:rRNA from 1 species